GACGAACGCUGGCGGCGUGCUUAACACAUGCAAGUCGAACGGAAAGGCCCUGCUUUUGUGGGGUGCUCGAGUGGCGAACGGGUGAGUAACACGUGAGUAACCUGCCCUUGACUUUGGGAUAACUUCAGGAAACUGGGGCUAAUACCGGAUAGGAGCUCCUGCUGCAUGGUGGGGGUUGGAAAAUUUCGGCGGUUGGGGAUGGACUCGCGGCUUAUCAGCUUGUUGGUGGGGUAGUGGCUUACCAAGGCUUUGACGGGUAGCCGGCCUGAGAGGGUGACCGGCCACAUUGGAACUGAGAUACGGCCCAGACUCCUACGGGAGGCAGCAGUGGGGAAUAUUGCACAAUGGGCGGAAGCCUGAUGCAGCAACGCCGCGUGCGGGAUGACGGCCUUCGGGUUGUAAACCGCUUUCGCCUGUGACGAAGCGUGAGUGACGGUAAUGGGUAAAGAAGCACCGGCUAACUACGUG
rnacentral:rRNA from 1 species